rnacentral:sRNA from 1 species
GUUUCAAUUCCUCAUAGGCAGGCUAUCGGCUUCUAUGCGUCCUCUAACGGUUAUCGGCGCGCAUACAG